ACUGUGGUACCUUGUGGUAUGCACAUAAUAAAUUAUUGUAUUACUCUAUUACGUUUAGCGUGUAUGUUUACAUUGAGUAUCUGUCAUAUGUGGAGAUGUUGUUAUUGUUGUCUGGAGUGUGAAUCAUUGUAUGUAAUAUUGAAGUAUCGGUAAUAAAGUGUAUACAAAUAAUGAAUACAGUUGUUGAAUAAUCAUUACAGAGAAAGAUUCUCACAUUGGCGACGAGAACGGUGAACAGUGCAUGUGAAAUUAGUUUAAUUUCGGUUCGGGAAGUGUUAACUUUGAAAAAAAAAGAGAUGAGUGGUGUGUGUGGUGCAUGCAGAGUGGUGAUGACCUCCAGGUGAUGACUUGUGAUUGAAUUUCAACAUUGGAAUCAAAAAGGUACAACCAUAAGUAACGGCCAAGUAAUUUACCAAAAUGCCGAGCAGAGAUGGAUGACCAAAUGGAUGACUGUACUACUAAUUCUGAUCUGAUGUGAGACUGAAGCGAGACGUUCAUCAACUGAGGAGACUAUAAGCGAAAACAACGUGAAGUGACCUUGCUGCGGAUCUGGAGAAAAAACGAGAUGUGGUACCUUGUGGUAUGCACAUAAUAAAUUAUUGUAUUACUCUAUUACGUUUAGCGUGUAUGUUUACAUUGAGUAUCUGUCAUAUGUGGAGAUGUUGUUAUUGUUGUCUGGAGUGUGAAUCAUUGUAUGUAAUAUUGAAGUAUCGGUAAUAAAGUGUAUACAAAUAAUGAA